UCCAAAUAAUUACUCCUCCCCCUUUAUCCGCAGGCUUAAUCACUAUAUUUACGUCUUUUUGUAAGUCUUUCAACGCCUCUCUUUCUUCUUUCAUAAGAUUAUUUUGAUAUUUAUUUAGGGGUUUGAAAGACUUACAAAAAGACGUAAAUAUAGUGAUUAAGCCUGCGGAUAAAGGGGGAGGAGUAAUUAUUUGGA